rnacentral:rRNA from 1 species
UAAUACCGGAUAACAUUUUGAACCGCAUGGUUCGAAAUUGAAAGGCGGCUUCGGCUGUCACUUAUGGAUGGACCCGCGUCGCAUUAGCUAGUUGGUGAGGUAACGGCUCACCAAGGCAACGAUGCGUAGCCGACCUGAGAGGGUGAUCGGCCACACUGGGCUGAGACACGGCCCAGACUCCUACGGGAGGCAGCAGUAGGGAAUCUUCCGCAAUGGACGAAAGUCUGACGGAGCACGCCGCGUGAGUGAUGAAGGCUUUCGGGUCGUAAAACUCUGUUGUUAGGGAAGAACAAGUGCUAGUUGAAUAAGCUGGCACCUUGACGGUACCUAACCAGAAAGCCACGGCUAACUACGUGCCAGCAGCCGCGGUAAUACGUAGGUGGCAAGCGUUAUCCGGAAUUAUUGGGCGUAAAGCGCGCGCAGGUGGUUUCUUAAGUCUGAUGUGAAAGCCCCGGCUCAACCGUGGAGGGUCAUUGGAAACUGGGAGCUUGAGUGCAGAAGAGGAAAGUGGAAUUCCAUGUGUAGCGGUGAAAUGCGUAGAGAUAUGGAGGAACACCAGUGGCGAAGGCGACUUUCUGGUCUGUAACUGACACUGAGGCGCGAAAGCGUGGGGAGCAAACAGGAUUAGAUACCCUG